UGAGGGGAUUGAAGAGGGGGUGCUGAGGCACGCAGAGUCCCUGUGCAGAGCCCUGGAUGGAGAGCUGGACCUCAGUGAGACCAGGCUGGACCAGAAGGCCUGUGGAUCUCUGGCCCUGGUUCUGGAACACUCAGAGGGGCUGUCAGAACUGGACCUCAGCCACUGUCAACUCACAGACCACCACCUACAGCCCCUGAUCACACACCUGCACAAAGUACAAGUCCUGGACCUGAGUCACAAUGACAUCACUGAUGCUCUGACUGACAAAAUACUCCAACUGGUCUCCACCAACACUUCAAUACACACCGUACGACUCUUCAACAACAGAAUCCAGGACAGAAGACCCUUCCUGACAGACAAGAGGUUUGAGAUCUGGUGAAGAUAAUGUUGGAUAAUGACAGUAUAAUGUGGUCAAUGUAUAUAGAAGGCUGGUUCAAAAUCACACUGAUUGAUCUGAGUCCAGAAGAAUAGUCUUAGGGACAGGAAUGUAUCAUCUGGUGGACAGACGUCUUACAUGUGUUGUCACUCAGGUCCUUAAAAACACAGGAACAUGUGUAUUAUAACUGUAGGAUAGGAAUAUGUAGUUUUAUUUACCACUAACAGUUUGUGUGUAAAUACUUUCAAUAUUCAUACAUUAUUUUGUAUCUAAUUUUUUGAAGAAAUGAAUGGUAUACCUUGUUUUAUUAAUAUCUACAUUGUACUGUAAUACUGAUAGACAGACAUACAGUAGGUCAACUACAUGGUACUGUAAUACUGUUAGACAGACAUACAGUAGGUCAACUAC